AGCAAAUGAAAGGACGAAAAUGAAUCUCGGUAGGUGAGAAAAUAUCUCACCUACAUUUAUACUAAUUACAAAUGGACGGGUCGGAUCGGGUGAUCCGGCCCAAAAUUAAAUAAGGGACAUUGGGCUCAGACCACAUAACUCAUCACAAUAUACUAAUUACAAACGGACGGGUCGGAUCGGGUGAUCCGGCCCAAAAUUAAAUAAGGGACAUUGGGCUCAGACCAUAUAACUCAUCACAGCCCAGUUACAACUUACAACCCAAUGCCGGAAAUAUACCUACAAUAUACCUACAAUAUAUAUUGAGUAUACACAAAAGGUACAAGUAUAUACAAAUCUAAAUCAUGUAAUAUCUUGUAUCUCAACACCCUCCCUCAAGUUGGAGAGUGAAACCACCUGCAAGUUGGUGAGCAACGGAAGCAGCAAAGUGCCUGGCAGAGGCUUGGUGAGCAAGUCUGCCAGCUGACGAGAAGUAGGCACAUGAAGCAACUUGAUAAAACCAGAAAGCAACAAGUCCCGAACAAAAUGGCAAUCCA
rnacentral:lncRNA from 1 species